UACGGAGGGUGCGAGCGUUGUCCGGAAUUACUGGGCGUAAAGCGCACGUAGGCGGAUUUGUAAGUCAGGGGUGAAAUCCCGGGGCUCAACCUCGGAACUGCCUUUGAUACUGCAAAUCUCGAGUCCGGAAGAGGUGAGUGGAAUUCCUAGUGUAGAGGUGAAAUUCGUAGAUAUUAGGAAGAACACCAGUGGCGAAGGCGGCUCAUUGGUCCGGUACUGACGCUGAGGUGCGAAAGCGUGGGGAGCAAACAGG
rnacentral:rRNA from 1 species